GUGGGGAAUAUUGGACAAUGGGCGCAAGCCUGAUCCAGCCAUGCCGCGUGAGUGAUGAAGGCCUUAGGGUUGUAAAGCUCUUUCACCGGUGAAGAUAAUGACGGUAACCGGAGAAGAAGCCCCGGCUAACUUCGUGCCAGCAGCCGCGGUAAUACGAAGGGGGCUAGCGUUGUUCGGAAUUACUGGGCGUAAAGCGCACGUAGGCGGAUAUUUAAGUCAGGGGUGAAAUCCCAGAGCUCAACUCUGGAACUGCCUUUGAUACUGGGUAUCUCGAGUAUGGAAGAGGUAAGUGGAAUUCCGAGUGUAGAGGUGAAAUUCGUAGAUAUUCGGAGGAACACCAGUGGCGAAGGCGGCUUACUGGUCCAUUACUGACGCUGAGGUGCGAAAGCGUGGGGAGCAAACAGGAUUAGAAACCCUUGUAGUCC
rnacentral:rRNA from 1 species